rnacentral:rRNA from 1 species
GACGAACGCUGGCGGCGUGCCUAAUACAUGCAAGUAGGACGCAGUUGCGAACGGGUGAGUAACGCGUCGGCCACUACCUAUUAGAGGGGGAUAACUAUUGGAAACGAUAGCUAAUACCGCAUACUAGUAGAUGGACCUGCGUUGUAUUAGCUAGUAGGUCGGGUAAUGGCCUACCUAGGCAAAGAUACAUAGCCGGCCUGAGAAGGUGAUCGGCCACACUGGGACUGAGACACGGGCCAGACUCCUACGGGAGGCAGCAGUAGGGAAAUAUCGGCAAAUGGGGGAACCCUGACCGAGCCACUGCGCGGGAGUGAAGAAGGUUUUCGGAUCUUAAAGCUCUGUUGUUAAGGAAGCGGUACUUAACGAAGAAGGGACGGCUAACUACGUGCCAGCAGCCGCGGUAAUUC